rnacentral:rRNA from 1 species
AUUGAACGCUGGCGGCAGGCCUAACACAUGCAAGUCGAGCGGAGCGGCGGACGGGUGAGUAAUGCCUAUGACUCUGCCUGGUCGUGGGGGAUAACGUUCGGAACCGGGCGCUAAUACCGCAUACUAUCAGGUGAGCCUAGGUCGGGUUAGCUAGUUGGGGGGGUAAAGGCCUACCCAGGCGACGAGCCGUAACUGGACUGAGAGGAUGAUCAGUCACACGGGAACGGAGCCACGGUCCAGAGGACUACGGGAGGCAGCAGAGGGGAAUAUUGGACAAUGGGGGAAAGCCUGAUCCAGCCAUGCCGCGUGUGUUGAGAAGGCCUUCGGAUUGUAAAGCACUUUAAGUUGGGAGGCGUUACCAACAGAAUAAGCACCGGCUAACUACGUGCCAGCAGCCGCGGUAAUUC